rnacentral:rRNA from 1 species
CCAAUAGCGUAUAUUAAAGUUGUUGCAGUUAAAAAGCUCGUAGUUGAACUUCGGGGUCUACCCAUUGGUCAGGCUUAAUUGUCUGCACUGGUGAGAUGGAUCUCUACCUUCUGAGGAACUUUCAUGCCAUUUAUUUGGUGUGAUGGGAAAUCAGGACUGUUACUUUGAAAAAAUUAGAGUGUUUAAAGCAGACUAUCGUCUGAAUACAUUAGCAUGGAAUAAUGAAAUAGGACGGACUGAUUCUAUUUCGUUGGUUUCUAGGAUCACCGUAAUGAUUAAUAGGGAUAGUUGGAGGCAUUAGUAUUCAAUUGUCAGAGGUGAAAUUCUUGGAUUUAUUGAAGACUAACUACUGCGAAAGCAUUUGCCAAGGAUGUUUUCAUUAAUCAAGAACGAAAGUUAGGGGAUCGAAGACGAUCAGAUACCGUCGUAGUCUUAACCAUAAACUAUGCCGACUAGGGAUCGGACGAAGUUAAUUUUAUAAUGACGCGUUCGGCACCUUACG